UUGAGUUUCCUACUGUGUAAUUUAAAAAUACAUUUCCUGUCGAUACUACCAGAUCCUAGAACCCUAUCAAUAUUGUCUCUGCUGUGUACAUAGCUGUGAGUAGUGCAAUAUUGCUUAUAGGGUUUUAGUGUUUGGAAAGAACAGUGGCCA
rnacentral:pre_miRNA from 1 species